CGUAAUUAACUUCCAUUACUGUAAACAUAUAGUUGAUCACAAGGACCAUUUAUAUAAGUGUUUUAAAAUGAUACGGAUAUUAUGUUAUCCAUUGGUAUUGCUUCAUAUUUGUUAUUGUCUAGCGACAAACGAAACCGACUCCUACGAGAUAUACAUCGUCGUGCAGUCCAAGGAAAUACACUUAAAUAGUAUAAAGGAAUCUAUGGAAAUGUAUUAUUUUCAUUUCAAAAGCAAGAUAAAUAACAAGCUCUUUAUUUUCGAGAAGAAUAAUGGAAGUGAUAAGCGACGUUUACACACUGAUGAAUUGGAGGGUCUUCGUAAAUCAAAUAAUCAUUGAUGCCAAGAGGUAAGAAGCGCAAGAAUGGUGUUGCUUUUCUCUUUUCGCUUUCAAUACAAUUCGUUAGCCGGUAUUCUGAUUUGUGUGCUAAAUUAUAAACGGGCUCGUGGAAAACACGGUGUUGAAUGUACUGUAGUGCAAGGAUUCCAGGUUAAAACAUUUUUGCUGAAUGUUAACAGUUUGAGUUUAAAGAUAUUUAGUUUAAACUAGUAUGUCUAUUUUUUCAAUUCUAUCGAAAUUAGGUUACUUUUAGUUGUGUAAAAUUUCAUUCUGGAGGGGAAAUAAACAUGUUUUAAUUAUAUUAAGUUUAGUUUGGUUCUUCAAGGUGUUAACAGCUUCAGUCUUGCGAUUGUGUUUGUAGCUAAUUCAGAAACCAUAAAUAUAACCUCAGUUCAAAUAUCAAAUUUGAUAUAAACGAUUUAAUAGGUGCAAACAGAUUUAAACUUGUAAAAUGUUUCGAAAUUAUUGAACUUUUGAAUUACGCAGAUUUUGAAUAGCAGGGAUCCCACGUUUUUUUGCCAUUAUUUGAAAAAGAUGAACGAGUCAAGAAAUAUUUUGUAAAAAUGUAUACAAAAAAAUGCCAAACACGUUUGGUUGACCUAUGUUUAAACGCACCCUGUUGUUUCGAUUAAAUGCAUCCGUCGUUUUUUAUAUUUAUGCGAACUAUAGGUUAUUAAAUAAAAAAUAAUUAGGGUUCGAAUAGUUUUAUGAACUGUUUCUGGCUGGUAUUAAAAAAUAAUAUUUAAGUGUACCUUAUGCUACACAACGUUUUUUCUGUAUGCUUUUAUUUUUGGCCUUUGACUGCAGAUACUUAGAACUGUUGAACUUUCUGAUAACUAUCAACAUACUUUAGUCGUACGCUAAUGUUAACUACGCUUAAAACAGUAGUUGUAAUUUGAUAACUAAUAGUUAUAAUAUAAUAUAAAUGAACAUACAAAAUUGAUUUUCAAGAUUGAAUAGAUUGA